CCAGAAUUCCAUUUAUGAAAGACCACAAGCUCUAUAGACGCUAGAAUCACAGAGAUAUGAAGACAGCAUAGCAAAGCAGUGCUACCAAGUUCCAGUGAGAAAUGGAGCACUGGAUAUGGGCCCACUAAGGAGAGCUAUAGUCAGAUUCGUAAGGCAUCAACAGGAGUCGGCUUGGAGUCUGGAAGACCUUCCUUGAUUAUGCCCUGUCAACACAGUAGUACAUGCUGGAGGCUGGGAGUUGCAAGAAAUGUUUGACCUUUUCGUGUCACUGUUGGAGAUCAAAUCUUCAGAUAAAACCUUUUUACUGUGUCCUUAUUACAGUGGUCAGUUCAUACACUAGGCAUGAGAAGGUCUGUAUUAUUUUUCUUGUUAAAUACUUGAAUAAAUGAUGUGAU
rnacentral:sRNA from 1 species